rnacentral:rRNA from 1 species
GACGAACGCUGGCGGCGUGCUUAACACAUGCAAGUCGAACGAAGUGGCGAACGGGUGAGUAACGCGUAAUCAACCUGCCCUUCAGAGGGGGACAACAGUUGGAAACGACUGCUAAUACCGCAUACUGAAGGAGGGGAUUGCGUCUGAUUAGCUAGUUGGAGGGGUAACGGCCCACCAAGGCGAUGAUCAGUAGCCGGUCUGAGAGGAUGACCAGCCACACUGGAACUGAGACACGGUCCAGACUCCUACGGGAGGCAGCAGUGGGGAAUAUUGCACAAUGGGCGCAAGCCUGAUGCAGCCAUGCCGCGUGUAUGAAGAAGGCCUUCGGGUUGUAAAGUACUUUCGCUAUCGAACGGGUAGGUGGAGAAGAAGCGCCGGCUAACUACGUGCCAGCAGCCGCGGUAAUAC